CCUACGGGAGACAGCAGUGGGGAAUAUUGCACAAUGGGGGAAACCCUGAUGCAGCGACGCCGCGUGAAGGAAGAAGUAUUUCGGUAUGUAAAGCCCUAUCGGCAGGGAAGAAGCAAGACGGUACCUGACUAAGAAGCCCCGGCUAACUACGUGCCAGCAGCCGCGGUAAUACGUAGGGGGCGAGCGUUAUCCGGAUUCACUGGGUGUAAAGGGAGCGUAGACGGCCAUGCAAGCCAGGGGUGAAAGCCCGGGGCCCAACCCCGGGACUGCCCUUGGAACUGUGCGGCUAGAGUGCGGGAGGGGCAGGCGGAAUUCCUGGUGUAGCGGUGAAAUGCGUAGAUAUCAGGAGGAACACCGGCGGCGAAGGCGGCCUGCUGGACCGCGACUGACGUUGAGGCUCGAAAGCGUGGGGAGCGAACAGGAUUAGAUACCCUGGUAGUC
rnacentral:rRNA from 1 species